rnacentral:lncRNA from 1 species
GUAAGAGAUAUUUUUAAGGCUACUAAAAUGAGGGAGUAGGCACAGGACAUCACAAACCCAUUUGUGUUUGCUGAUUACUUUCUGUGGAAAUGAAAGGUACAUUUUCUGCUGUCUUCAUGAUGGGAGGUAGUUUCACAACUAGAAAGAAGGAGCCCCACGAAAGUUAGGCUCCUGUCCUUCCACAACUGGGGUGAGAGAUGCUAUAUUUCUUGAUGAUGAUAGUACAAGAUGAUGGAUCCCAGGUCCUAGAGAAAGAAGACAUCUCUGAGCUAUGAAUUGCAAGAAACUUUGAAAAGAUCUACACCUCAAUGAGGUGGAGAUGGAUUUAUAAUGACAAGUUUUCUAAUGUAAAUGCUCUAUGAAAAGGGCAGUAAUGGACCAAGAAUCGGGAGGAAGCCUGUUUAAAGUUUGUUAAGCUGACAGGAAUGUUGAGGCCAUCUUGAUCAUUAAAAACCAUGAGUUUAUAAUUAUCCAAGCACCUCAUUAUUUAUGCAAUAUUGCUACUAUUCUAUCAGACAGUGUUUACCAACGUUUCUUCAUAUUAGGGCAUUGCAUAGAAAUUGCUAAUUUUUGAAAAGCUCUGUGGAUUAGUCAGCUCAGAGUCAAGAUUGGAGCAGAUCAGCUUUCCUAAGUCAAACCCAACUGCCUUGAGGGGUAGGACCUCAGUAUCUCAUGAUCUCUUUGUUGUAAUUCUGAUGGAUACCUAAUUUCAGAGGUUUGAGGAAUGGAAGUGAUCUUGCUAGUUAAGUGAAAACAAUGUAUUUUCCUAUCAUCAUUCCCCCUUUGCCAUCAGAAUGAUGCCCCAACUUUCCAUCAGCUGGUUGAGCCUCACUCCCCCUGUCCCAUUCUGGCUCUUUUCAUUCUUUGCUGACUUGUCUGCUUCUGUUCUCUGUUUCCAAAGGACACGGUUUGCAGUUUGUGUUGCCGCAGUCUUGAUGCCGAAGUUUUGACUGUCAUGAUCAACCGUAGCUACACACCCAGUCUCACCUGCCUUAGUAGACUUUCUUUCACCGUGCCAUCCUUCACUGAUGGUCUCUGUUUAAAGGAAAUGAUUGAAUUUGUCAAAGCAACAAACUCAGAAACCACCUGCUGGCUAUCGUUAAAAGGAGUGAAGUUCAUGGGAUGAUUUUUCACUCCGUUCAUCCAGUGACACUGACGUCGACACUGUUGCUAGGUCACACCAGGGAAUUUCAAGACCUUGUUCGUUUUUAUAUCAUGUAUUUUCCCUUUGUUGGAAACGUCUUCAAAUUCUUUGUUUGAUAAAUAAUAACUUAAGUUAAGUUUGAUCUGGAGGAGAGAUACCUGUAUCCACUAGACAAUUUUGCUCAUUAUUCUCUGCAAUAAAAACGACAGUGAUACUGGGAUUAGAUUGUGA